CAGGCAUUGGUAUAGUGGUAUUAUGCGCGGUUUGGAUCCGCGUGAAGUUGGUUCGAUUCCAGCAUGCCUGA
rnacentral:tRNA from 1 species